rnacentral:misc_RNA from 1 species
UUCCAUGCGAGAAAUCCAUUCACCGAAAUCUUUUGUCAGACUCGGACACAAGAAAAGAACCAGUUUUUUGGUUGUAUAAAAGGAACUAGCAUGCGUGCCCAUGAGUCAGUAGGUUAAAGAAAUGAAUAAAUAAAUAAAUUCCAUAAUCUUAAAAGAACCAAAGUACCAAAAUCUUGACAAAUAUUCCUAGAGCAAGGAGAGAAUAGGAAAUUCCCAUUCAUGAGUUAAUCAUGCAAUGGCCUAAAGAGGGUAAAUAUGUAAAUUUGAUAUUCCCAUUCAAAUA